GUCUUCGUGGUGUAGUGGUCAGCACACUCGACACGUAACCGAGAAGAGCAUGGUUCGAUUCCCGCCGAGGACA
rnacentral:tRNA from 1 species